AUGGCGCCAGCCGUGCAGCUGGGUAGCUACGUCGGGGACGGAUAAACGCUGAAAGCAUCUAAGCGUGAAACCAGCCUAGAGAUGAGGUUUCUCAUUGCGCAAGCAAGUAAGGUCCCACAAAGACGAUGUGGUUGAUAGGCCGGGAGUGGAAGUACAGUGAUGUAUGGAGCGGACCGGUACUAAUAGACCGAGGACUUGACUACA
rnacentral:rRNA from 1 species